GGUCUUUAGGCUCUCUAGGUAGAGUGGACAGUUCCUUCUCCAGUGGCCUUCAACAUCACAGUGAAAACACUUUCCUUUUGCUUCAGCCUUCUUUGGAACAUCCUUCUUUAGCUUGCUCUCUUUCUUCUGCUUCUUAGAGGAUUUGUUCUUCUUCUUCCAACUAGAUUUUCUCUUGGUCGAAGAAGUCUGCUCCACAGCGAGAAUAGUACCCCUUGAACUCUUCAAAGUUCCUUCC
rnacentral:lncRNA from 1 species